GCCCCUGUAGCUCAAUGGUUAGAGCACCAGACUCAUAAUCUGUGGGUUGCAAGUUCGAGUCUUGCCGGGGGCA
rnacentral:tRNA from 2 species